GCGGCGGACGGCCGAGCAACGCGGGGGGAACCGGCCCGGGACACACAGACAACAUAUUUUAAGGCAUGCUAAUACGGGAUAACAUAAGAAAGUCGCGGGGCUUUCUUAUCAAAGCUUUUGCGGUACAGGAUGGACCCGCGUCUGAUUAGCUAGUUGGUAAGGUAACGGCUUACCAAGGCGACUAUCAGUAGCCGACCUGAGAGGGUGAUCGGCCACAUUGGAACUGAGACACGGUCCAAACUCCUACGGGACGCAGCACUGGGGAAUAUUGCACAAUGGGCGAAAGCCUGAUGCAACAACGCCGCGUGAGCGAUGAAGGCCUUCGGGGCGGGGAGCUCUGUCCUCAAGGAAGAUAAUGACGGUACUUGAGGAGGAAGCCCCGGCUAACUACGUGCCAGCAGCCGCGGUAAUACGUAAGGGGCUAGCGUUAUCCGGAAUUACUGGGCGUAAAGGGUGCGUACGCGGUUUCUUAAGUCAGAAGUGAAAGGCUACGGCUCAACCGUACUAAGCUUUUGAAACUGAGAAACUUGAGUGCAGGAGAGGAGAGUAGAAUUCCUAGUGUAGCGGUGAAAUGCG
rnacentral:rRNA from 1 species